rnacentral:rRNA from 1 species
GAUGAACGCUGGCGGCGUGCUUAACACAUGCAAGUCGAACGAGAAGUGAAGACGGAAACCUUCGGGCGGAAGGCUUUAUUUCGAGUGGCGGACGGGUGAGUAACGCGUGGGUAACCUGCCUCAUACAGGGGGAUAACAGUUGGAAACGACUGUUAAUACCGCAUAAGACCACAGCACCGCAUGGUGCGGGGGUAAAAACUCCGGUGGUAUGAGAUGGACCCGCGUUCGAUUAGCCAGUUGGCGGGGUAACGGCCCACCAAAGCGACGAUCGAUAGCCGAUCUGAGAGGAUGACCGGCCACAUUGGGACUGAGACACGGCCCGAACUCCUACGGGAGGCAGCAGUGGGGAAUAUUGCACAAUGGGGGAAACGCUGAUGCAGCGACGCCGCGUGAGUGAAGAAGUAUUUCGGUAUGUAAAGCUCUAUCAGCAGGGAAGAAAAUGACGGUACCUGAGUAAGAAGCCCCGGCUAACUACGUG